rnacentral:rRNA from 1 species
UACGAAGGGGGCUAGCGUUGUUCGGAAUUACUGGGCGUAAAGCGCGUGUAGGCGGGUCUUUAAGUCAGGGGUGAAAUCCCGGAGCUCAACUUCGGAACUGCCCUUGAUACAGCACGUCUUGAGUCCGGAAGAGGUGGGUGGAAUUCCUAGUGUAGAGGUGAAAUUCGUAGAUAUUCGCAAGAACACCAGUGGCGAAGGCGGCUCACUGGCCCGGUACUGACGCUGAGGUGCGAAAGCGUGGGGAGCAAACAGG